rnacentral:rRNA from 1 species
UACGGGGGGAGCAAGCGUUGUUCGGAUUUACUGGGCGUAAAGGGCGCGUAGGCGGCCACCGCAAGUCGGUUGUGAAAUCUCCGGGCUUAACCCGGAAAGGUCAAUCGAUACUGCGGGGCUAGAGUGCAGGAAGGGGCAACUGGAAUUCUCGGUGUAGCGGUGAAAUGCGUAGAUAUCGAGAGGAACACCUGCGGCGAAGGCGGGUUGCUGGGCUGACACUGACGCUGAAGCGCGAAAGCUAGGGGAGCGAACGGG